rnacentral:misc_RNA from 1 species
GAUGAAGAACGUAGCGAAAUGCGAUAAGUAAUGUGAAUUGCAGAAUUCAGUGAAUCAUCGAAUCUUUGAACGCACAUUGCACCCGCCAGUAUUCUGGCGGGCAUGCCUGUUCGAGCGUCAUUUCAACCAUCAAGCCCCCGGCUUGUGUUGGGGACCUGCGGCUGCCGCAGGCCCUGAAAACCAGUGGCGGGCUCGCUAGUCACUCCGAGCGUAGUAAUACAUCUCGCUCAGGGCGUGCUGCGGGUUCCGGCCGUUAAAAAGCCUUAUUUACCCAAGGUUGACCUCGGAUCAGGUAGGAAGACCCGCUGAACUUAAGCAUAUCAAUAAGCGGAGGA